CUGGCCCAUGGGCUGGGACUUUGACUGUCCUGUUCUAUGGGGUCCCCACUGGGACAAACUUCCAAACAACAAAGCACAAAAGAUUACUUGAUAGAAUACAACAGCUCCUCAUAGAGCAUUGAACCACACUGUAUGUCUUUAUUAAAAAAGGGGAAAGGGAAAAAAAGAGUAGUGACAACUUUCCAGAAUAGUCUCUACAAAGAUUAGAGGCCUGUAGCCAAAGAUUUGGCUGGAGGGAGGUGUUAAGAGCAUCACAGCUGCUGGAAGCAGACAGCCAAUGAGAUAACCCAGGAGACAUGUGACAGAACUCCAGGACCUGGAUCAGAGCCUGCUGGGGAUUUUUGUUGUUGCUCGGCCAUGGAAGUUUGCUCUCCCUCUCUUUUCAUUAGAGCCAGCAUGUGUAGUGGUUAAAGUGCUGGACUAGGACCAGGGAGACCCGAGUUCAAAUCCCCAUUCAUCUAUGAUACUAGCUGGGUGACUCUGGGCCAGCCCCUUCUCUCUCAGCCUAACCUACAUCACAGGGCUGUUGUGAGGAGAAACUUAAGUAAGUAGUAAACUGCUCCGGGCUCCUUGGAGGAAGAGCGGGAUAUAAAAUGUAACAACAACAACAACAACAACAACAACAAUUACAACAACAGUUCUCUUUAAUGUUACAGGACAUUUAAAGCCAAGAAUAACUAGCAGACUGGGUUAACCAAUUUUGGCAUCUCUGAACUAGGGAUGUACAUGGAACCAAUGCGGGGAAGUUCGAAGGCGGCAGGGGGCGGGAUGACUUUAAGGGUUGGGGAGGGUGCACUUACUCCUCCCGCUGCUUUCCCCCCGCUGGCGCUCCAUUGUAAACUGGUCCAGCAGGGUGGCAGCGUACCUCCCUGCCACCCUGUCCCCUUGUCGGGCUGGAAGUAUGCAGAAGUACCCGGUGCACAUGCAAACGUCAGACACAUCCCUACCUGGAACCCUCAUCCCCAUUCUGUGCACAUUCUGUGACCUUCUGUGCACAUCCCUACCUGGAACCCUCAUGCCAGGGGGUGUUGGACCCCCCACUACAUAAAUUCUCCCAUGCUGUCCCUUCUGUUCCUAUGAAUUGAACUCAGUGGAGUCUGCUACAAUGCAGCUACAGUCUUUUCAAGGGCAUAAUAUUAAAAUUAUAAUCGUCUUAAAAGUUGCAGAUUUCCAAUUUAUAGCACUCUGGAGAGGAUAGUGUUCUGAACAGUUCCUGAAUUUGCAUCCUACUUUUUAAAAAACUCAUCAGGUGUCUUUGUUUUAAUCCUGCUUUUCUUUGGAUUGAAUUGACUGCCCCUAGUUUGGACUCAGAUCUGUGAAUAGGACCCCCUCUAUCACAGAAAGAAAGAAAGAAAGAAAGAAAGAAAGAAAGAAAGAAAGAAAGAAAGAAAGAAAGAAAGAAAGAAGCUGCAAGAAGGGGAUUCAUAAUUUUUAGUUGAUGUUUUAAGCUGAAUUGUAUUGAUUGUUUUAACUGUAAAUUUUAUAUAUGUUUUAACUGAA